UGGAUAGGGAGGAAGCACUAGCCAUACCUGGAGAGGGUUAAAACCCUCACCCUGAGCAGGGAAUCUUCAGCAGGUGUCUGGCAUCACUGCAGUGAUUGCUGGGGAGCCCAGUCAGGGACUGGAUUCAGCUGGAGCUAAUUGCUCGUUACUGGGGAAACCAGGCACUAUAAGAAGGGGGAGCGGGGGUGGGUCAGUCUGGUAUGAGGGUUAGGCUGAGUGAGGGGCCCUGUGCAUUCUGGGAUGGGGCAGAGCUAGACCAGGCUAGAGCCCUCUGGCUUGGUUUAGUGGGGCCAGUUCUCUGGUCUCAGAGGUGAGGCUGUCCCUGUGCCAGAGCUUGGCUUUCCUGACCUGUCAGGGUUUAAGAAGCAAGCGGAGAAGGCACCACUGAAUUCAGAGACCGCUGUGGCUGAGUGUGCUGUUCCUAGGAUGGCUUGGGUCACCACACUGCUGGUUCUGGUAGCCUGUUGGGCAGGUUCCAGCUACCAGUUCACUUUGACUCAGCCACUCGCUAUGUCAGUGACUCCAGGAGAAACUGCCCAACUCGCAUGUGUUCUGAGCAGUGAAGUCAGCAUCAGAGGUAGCAACAUAUGCUGGUACCAGCAGAAGUAAGGGGAGAAACCAAGAUACCUGCUGU